rnacentral:rRNA from 1 species
GUGGGGAAUAUUGGACAAUGGGGGGAACCCUGAUCCAGCCAUGCCGCGUGUGUGAAGAAGGCCUUUUGGUUGUAAAGCACUUUAAGCGAGGAGGAGGCUACCGAGAUUAAUACUCUUGGAUAGUGGACGUUACUCGCAGAAUAAGCACCGGCUAACUCUGUGCCAGCAGCCGCGGUAAUACAGAGGGUGCAAGCGUUAAUCGGAUUUACUGUGCGUAAAGCGCGCGUAGGUGGCCAAUUAAGUCAAAUGUGAAAUCCCCGAGCUUAACUUGGGAAUUGCAUUCGAUACUGGUUGGCUAGAGUAUGGGAGAGGAUUGUAGAAUUCCAGGUGUAGCGGUGAAAUGCGUAGAGAUCUGGAGGAAUACCGAUGGCGAAGGCAGCCAUCUGGCCUAAUACUGACACUGAGGUGCGAAAGCAUGGGGAGCAAACAGGAUUAGAUACCCUGGUAGUCC